rnacentral:rRNA from 1 species
UGGGGAAUAUUGCACAAUGGGCGCAAGCCUGAUGCAGCCAUGCCGCGUGUGUGAAGAAGGCCUUCGGGUUGUAAAGCACUUUCAGCGAGGAGGAAGGUGGUGAGCUUAAUACGCUCAUCAAUUGACGUUACUCGCAGAAGAAGCACCGGCUAACUCCGUGCCAGCAGCCGCGGUAAUACGGAGGGUGCAAGCGUUAAUCGGAAUUACUGGGCGUAAAGCGCACGCAGGCGGUUUGUUAAGUCAGAUGUGAAAUCCCCGGGCUCAACCUGGGAACUGCAUUUGAAACUGGCAAGCUAGAGUCUCGUAGAGGGGGGCUAGGAAAUUUCCAGGUGUAGCGGUGAAAUGCGUAGAGAUCUGGAGGAAUACCGGUGGCGAAGGCGGCCCCCCUGGA